AACCGGGAUUGGAAUCCAGACUUCGGAGUCCAGGGGUGUGGGCCUGGCUGCAGAGUGGCCAUUGCCUUAGGCAGUGGAAGCAUCUUAGGAGGAAUCAGCUUCUGAACCUGUGGCAACUGCUCUUUUGAAGGUGGACAUGAUGUUUAUAACCAUUCGGAAGUCAUUUGGAGUACAGAGAAAAAGCCAGUGAUCAAGCUAAAAGGAACUAUUUUUUGGUAAAAGGAAAUAGGGUACACUCAAACUGAAUGAGACUGGUUUUUCUUCAGUGAUUUAAAAACUGCAUCUAAAUGUAAGCCCAAAGGAGAACCACCCCCCC